CUUUUUCUUGAAAAAUUGGAACAAAACUCCUUCAACACUUGUCGUUCAUAAUGUUUUCCGAACUGUCGGUACUGCCCUCGUACAAUGCAAGUGUAUUUAUGACGUUUACGUUCUGCCUAUCUAUAAAUAGCAGAUUUAAAGAAAAACAACAACAAACAUAACUACGAAAACAGAUUGUUUUUGUGGAUUAUUAAAAAUGAGAUGGAAUGGAUAAAAAGGAAAGAAUACGAACUCCAAAACAAUGUUACCUUUGUAUAUGAUCGCCUAUGUUGUUGUGGGUUAAUGAUAACUAACCUCUUUUGUAGGUUGCUAUUCGUAAUGUUGUCAAAACUGCUGAUGAUGGAAAAAUGUUGCGGAAUCAAUAAUUUUGUUUCGGAAUUUUUGUCACAGUUUGGAGUAGCAGUUUUGUAGCAUGACCGCAUUUUUACAUUAUUGCCUCAGUUUUACUUUGCACAUUCGGUAUCUGGCUAAUAUCCAUGUAUGCAACGAAGACAUUACAACUUGCCAAAAUCACACAAGCUAUACACUAAACAACAAGAUAUGUUUAGUACAUAUUAUACUUUAUCAUAACUUUUUUUAUUUGUUCAUUCACAUUUCAAAGCUAUUUUUAUUGCAAUUUAAUAAAUGUAAGUUGGUAGCCGUAGCUGUGAACGGUA